UGUCUAACUAAAUGAACUUCUGUAGUGC
rnacentral:piRNA from 1 species